rnacentral:lncRNA from 10 species
AGCCUCGGAUCAUCAGCCAGUGUCAGGUGUCACAGCAUAGCCAAGCGACCAGACGAGCAGAUGAGACCUUGUUAAUCUCCAGUGGUGAUGAGUAACCGUUCUCUCUAUCACAUAUCACAUACUGGUGAUUCAUCCAGGUGGCGCUAGGAGGGAUCUUCGCCGCAGAGGGCAUUCGAGAGAUGACAACUCUAGACAUCCAUGCAACUUCUGUUCUUGUGCUCCUGCUGUUUUCAAAUUCCACAGUCACAGACUGCACCCUGGAAAACUCAGGACACCCUAGAGUGAACUGCUCUGAAGAACAAAGUUGCUACUUGCUUGCUACCUCUGGUUGCUACCCCUGGUUGUGUUUGGUUGCCACAUAAUGAAAUGAUUUUCCUUCCCUCUUUUAUUUCCUUUCUUUCUUUUUUUUCUGCUACAAAUGGAAAAAUAGUUUGAUCACCUUGAAUCUUUUCACCCUUGGUAUUCUCCCCCUUCACACCCGAGCACCGCCCCUUGAUAAAUGAGAACACGUGUACUGAAAUCGCAGACUUCACCCUCCAGACUCAUCGUCCUCAUGCUCUCAGGGGGGACAUGUUUCCUUUCAAACCUCCAGAAUAAAUUCAUCACAGCAGGAAGAAGAUUGUUUUUCUUAAAAAAAAUCAAA